rnacentral:rRNA from 1 species
AGUGAACGCUGGCGGCAGGCCUAACACAUGCAAGUCGAACGGCAGCACAAAGCGACUUUCUUCUUCCCUGUGGAGUGUCGGAGGGGGGUGUGAUGUCUGUGAGACUGUCUUAUUGAGUGGGGUAUCUACUGGGAACACUAGCGAUUAUCGCAUAACGUACCUACGGCUAAGAGCGGGACCUUUUCGCCCCUUGCCCGCUUGUAUGCCCCGAUGUCGGAUUAGCUAGUGGGUGGGGUAAAGGCCCACCAAGGCGACGAUCCCUAGCUGGUCUGAGAGGAUGAUCAGCCACACUGGAACUGAGACACGGUCCAGACUCCUACGGGAGGCAGCAGUGGGGAAUAUUGGACAAUGGGCGCAAGCCUGAUGCAGCCAUGCCGCGUGUAUGAAGAAGGCCUUCGGGUUGUAAAGCCCUUUCAUCGGGGAGGAAGAGCAUAAAGUUAAUACCCCUGCUCACUGACGUUACCCGAAGAAGAAGCACCGGCUAACUCCGUG